AUUGAACGCUGGCGGCAUGCCUUACACAUGCAAGUCGAACGGCAGCACGGGUGCUUGCACCUGGUGGCGAGUGGCGAACGGGUGAGUAAUACAUCGGAACAUGUCCUGUAGUGGGGGAUAGCCCGGCGAAAGCCGGAUUAAUACCGCAUACGAUCUACGGAGGAAAGCGGGGGACCUUCGGGCCUCGCGCUAAAGGGUUGGCCGAUGGCUGAUUAGCUAGUUGGUGGGGUAAAGGCCUACCAAGGCGACGAUCAGUAGCUGGUCUGAGAGGACGACCAGCCACACUGGGACUGAGACACGGCCCAGACUCCUACGGGAGGCAGCAGUGGGGAAUUUUGGACAAUGGGCGAAAGCCUGAUCCAGCAAUGCCGCGUGUGUGAAGAAGGCCUUCGGGUUGUAAAGCACUUUUGUCCGGAAAGAAAUCCUUGGCCCUAAUACGGUCGGGGGAUGACGGUACCGGAAGAAUAAGCACCGGCUAACUACGUG
rnacentral:rRNA from 1 species